rnacentral:ncRNA from 1 species
ACGCUCGAAAGGCAAGUCACCCGAAAGGGUGAACACGCAAAGCUUCAGGUCUAAGGUUGUCAGUAAGCUGACUUCUACGAUAGCUGGGCUGCCGUC